rnacentral:rRNA from 1 species
UACGGAGGGUGCAGGCGUUAUCCGGAUUCACUGGGUUUAAAGGGUGCGUAGGUGGGCAUGUAAGUCAGUGGUGAAAUCUCCGGGCUUAACCCGGAAACUGCCAUUGAUACUAUAUGUCUUGAAUACCAUGGAGGUGAGCGGAAUAUGUCAUGUAGCGGUGAAAUGCUUAGAUAUGACAUAGAACACCAAUUGCGAAGGCAGCUCACUACGCGGUUAUUGACACUGAGGCACGAAAGCGUGGGGAUCAAACAGG